rnacentral:lncRNA from 1 species
CAUUUAUCGAGUAUUUACACAAUUCACCUCAUAUUCGAGUAUUGUUAUUUAAAGGAGAUUGCACACACUGGCAACAUCCGGCCAGCCCACUCAUCCCAGCAGUGAUCCUUGUGGAAACUUCCAUACAUUUACCACUGCCCUUCCCACUUGAUCAAUGUCAUUUCUCAAGAUAUUCCCUAAGAGGAUAUUGGGGACCAGCUUUGUGCUCUUAGAGUGAACGUUUUCCACACAGAGAAAGCGGGUGUGCCAGUCGUUAAUGUGUUAUCUCUCAGCUUCGAAAUAACCUUGCGUUGCCCUGCUUGGUGAUGCUGGAGCUGGGCCCUGUAGACAUUUCUCCUUCGCCAGCUGGCUGGCUGUUAGGCUUUGGGAACAGAGGGUGCUGGAGCGCCACUUCAGGGCCAAACAGGAGGAAGGCAUUUCCCUUCCUGUUCCUAGCCCUGGCACCAGCAGGUCAAAGUGGAGAGGGCCUGGAAGUGCUCACCUCAGCAUCCUGCCUGGACCUGCUCCGCUAGCCUGCAAGUUUCCCACUACCCAGGGCCAUUGCUGUGGAUCAGCCCCCAUCUGCAAUCUCUGUCCAGGUUUUCCAGAAAGCAGACCUGAGGCAAGACUCCUGUGCUCGACUUUGUCAGUGAGUGCGACCACAGGAGCCAGAGUAAAGGACAGAGAGAUUCCAGCGGGGAAGGAGAGGAACCGG